rnacentral:lncRNA from 1 species
UAAAUUACCUUCAGACAAAACAAAAAAAAAUUAAUUUCAUUUAUAGUCCUGCAAAUAUAGUGAAUAGAAAAUAUAUUCCCACAAAGUUUAAUUUUCAUAUGUUGUCUCUGCAAAAGUCCUGAUGUUUUUAAAUAUGUUCCUACCACUAGAAUUAAUUGAAAAAAAUUAGUUAACCAUAGGUUAAAUACUUAACCAUAGUUAAUUUUUAAUAUUUUUACUCUUUUAUAUUACACUAGUAUGACUUUUGGAGGAAUAUAUUUGUGAUGAUAAAAUUGAAAAUAUAAACGAUUCUCUAACGGUAACAAAUUAGAGAGACAUAUUUGAAAACAUUAGGAUUUUUACAUGAACAAUAUAUUCCUCCAAAAGUCAUACUAGUGUAAUAUAAAAGAGUAAAAAUAUUAAAAAUUAACUAUGGUUAAGUAUUUAACCUAUGGUUAACUAAUUUUUUUCAAUUAAUUCUAGUGGUAGGAACAUAUUUAAAAACAUCAGGACUUUUGCAGAGACAACAUAUGAAAAUUAAACUUUGUGGGAAUAUAUUUUCUAUUCACUANUUACUCUUUUAUAUUACACUAGUAUGACUUUUGGAGAAAUAUAUUUGUGAUGAUAAAAUUGAAAAUAUAAACGAUUCUCUAACGGUAACAAAUUAGAGAGACAUAUUUGAAAACAUUAGGAUUUUUACAUGAACAAUAUAUGAAAGUUGAAUUUUAUAAGAAUAUAUUUAUCAUUCACUAUAUUUAUAGGAACAUGUAUGAAAUUAAUCGAAAAAAAUAAGAUCUUUAAAUAUCUGCAAACAAUACUUUU